CCUACGGGAGGCAGCAGUGAGGAAUCUUCCACAAUGGGCGAAAGCCUGAUGGAGCGACGCCGCGUGCAGGAUGAAGGCCCUCGGGUUGUAAACUGCUUUUAUAAGUGAAGAAUAUGACGGUAACUUAUGAAUAAGCACCGGCUAACUACGUGCCAGCAGCCGCGGUAAU
rnacentral:rRNA from 1 species